UACAGAGGGGGCAAGCGUUGUUCGGAAUUACUGGGCGUAAAGGGCGCGUAGGCGGCCGCCUAAGUCAGACGUGAAAUCCCUCGGCUCAACCGGGGAACUGCGUCUGAUACUGGGUGGCUUGAAUUCGGGAGAGGGAUGCGGAAUUCCAGGUGUAGCGGUGAAAUGCGUAGAUAUCUGGAGGAACACCGGUGGCGAAGGCGGCAUCCUGGACCGACAUUGACGCUGAGGCGCGAAAGCCAGGGGAGCAAACGGG
rnacentral:rRNA from 1 species